rnacentral:rRNA from 1 species
UACGAAGGGGGCUAGCGUUGUUCGGAAUUACUGGGCGUAAAGGGCGUGUAGGCGGCCCGUUAAGACAGGUGUGAAAUUCCUGGGCUCAACCCAGGACGUGCGCCUGUGACUGGCGGGCUUGAGUCCGGGAGAGGAUGGUGGAACUCCCAGUGUAGAGGUGAAAUUCGUAGAUAUUGGGAAGAACACCCGUGGCGAAGGCGGCCAUCUGGACCGGUACUGAUGCUAAGGCGCGACAGCGUGGGGAGCAAACAGG